GUAGUCGUGGCCGAGUGGUCAAGGCGCACAGAUGGGCUCUUCUCCUCACCGUCUGGGGGAAUUUCCCCGCGUGGGUUCGAAUCCCACCGACUACC